GAGAACUUACUCCCAGUAGCCCCAAUACCAAAUCCUAACAAUCAGCUCGUACUCGAAGGCCCAAUGCCUAUGUGGGUCGGAAGCCUGGAUAGGUGGAGUUGAUGGGUUUUGGCUAUAUGAACAUUCCUAUGUGCACAUGCAAACCCUAAUGCUUGGAUCUAGGUUUCUCUAAUUAAACAUGCAUUGGAUCCAAGACUUCUAAUAUCUAAUAGAGUAUAAGAACAAUACAAAAUCAAAGUUAGAAGUAUACCUUGAAACACUUGUUUGAUCUUCUUGUUCUUGGAGCUUUAGAGUCACAAAUGUCACUCCUCUAAUGGCUUACAAACACCAACUAACAAUAGGAUGAUUUGAGAGAGAGGAGAGGGAAUAGAAAUCGUCCAGGGUUUCUUUUCUUUUGCAGAGGUGCCGAUUUCCCUUGCCCAAAGGGUCUAUUUAUACUUGUAAGGCUCCUAGGGUUUCACCCUUAAACCCUAGUUGGAUAAUCUUUACUCAAAGCAAUCCAAAUCCUUUCCAAGAUAAGCCCUUGGACGAUUUGUGGUUUAUCCCAAGCCCUAGAAAUCGUCCAACCCUAUCCAAGAAGGAUUUACAGCCCAAAGUGUAACUAUCAAACAAUUGACAGUUUAUACCCUCUUAUUUAAUUAAUCUCUUUAAGUCACCAAAUUAAUUCUAAUUAAUUUAUGACUUAUAUUAAUCAAAUAACAAUAUUAUUAUUCCUUAUAUUAUUCUCAUAAUAUAUUAAUAAUAUUUAUUCUCUCAUUAUAAAUCAUCCUGUCAAGUUGCUAUGGUGAAGGCAACCCAAAAGGACCAUGCACAAUCGGGUCAAAUACUUGCCUAAUAUAGUUGCAGCCUUAGACACUAUUCCAACAGUCUCCCACUUGGAUAAGUCUAGUAACUAUAUGCACAAGUACAAUUCGAUUUGCAAUCGUAGCUCUCAAAGACGCUGUCAAACUCUGAUCUAAUCAAUCUUGUCCUUUAGAUAAGGGAUCGUACAGUCCUCUGUUAGAUAUCAUGCUGACAAUUCUAUGGAAUAAUUAGUCUAGCAUUUUGGUUUCUCGAUCUCCGAUUCAUUUGACAUAGAACUUAAUCGAACACAUCAAUUCAGUUCUGACCGGGCCCGGCACAUAAGUCAAAUCAAAUCAUCGAGCGGCCGAGAUAUCGCUUUUACCCUCUUGGGAUAAAAGUAACAGAUAAACUUCGACUUAUAUGCAUUUACUUAUUCAUUAAUCAACUAUACACAACAAUGCGUUUUAUAACACCGAGUUACUGAUGCGUUUUCGCAUUAUCAAUGUACAACCAAUUAACAAAUAACAAACCAUAUAUCUAGGUUUUAAGACUAUAUGAUAUUAUCGUCUUGCGAUCACCCUUUUAUAUCAUAUUCCAUAAGGUGAUUCCAGCAAGCGCGGGUUUGUUCCAAUGCUCAAAACUAGUUCAUAAGCACUCAUGAACGUUGCAGCAACCCUUUGCUAUGUCUAAUACCAUUUAGACAAUCUACACACCAAUUCAUGACAAUCUUCAUUCAUAUCUACUUCCAACAUAUGAACGAUUGUGGACAAUUUGAAUAAUUCGAUUAUUCUUAAUAAACUCAAUUAUUCUGGAAGUCAAAACAUGCAAAAUGAAACAAUAGUUAAACAAUUAACAUAAGACAGUAACAUUACUCAUAAAUAAAACUCCUUUAUUUAAUCAUCAAAUGUUAAUUACAUUUAUCUAUUACACGUUUCUAAUACUAUCUAAUCUAUGCUAAUAUCAUCCUUCAGCCCAAUACUCCUAGCAUGCUGCAAGUGCUUAACCCUACUCAGUCCCUUCGUAAGCGGAUCUGCUGGGUUAUCUUCUGAUGAUAUCCUCUUCACUACGAGUUGUCCUUCUUCUACACGAUGUCUAAUGAAGUGAUAUUUUCUGUCGAUAUGUCUUGAUCUACCAUGAUCCCUCGGUUCCUUGGUCAAGGCAACCGCUCCUUCGUUAUCACAGAAAAUCUCCAUGGGCUCCUUUAUGGCAGGUACAACUCCAAGAUCACCGAUGAAGUUCUUCAGCCAUAUUGCCUCCUUCGACGCUUCGCUCGCUGCAAUGUACUCUGAUUCGCACGUUGAAUCAGCUACGGUUUCCUGCUUGGAACUCUUCCAUGUCACUGCUCCUCCAUUUAGGGUAAAGACCCAGCCCGACUGCGAACGGUAGUUGUCCCUGUCGGUCUGAAAACUGGCGUCACUAUACCCUCGCACCUUCAAGUCAUCACUCCCUCCGAGGACUAAGAACCAUUCCUUCGUCCUCCGAAGGUACUUAAGGAUAUUCUUCACCGCAAUCCAAUGUGCUCUGCCAGGAUUCCCUUGAUAUCUGCUAACCAUGCUCAAAGCGAAGGCUACAUCAGGGCGAGUACAAGUCAUAGCGUACAUGAUUGAGCCAACUGCGGAAGCGUAUGGUACUCGGCUCAUUUCUGCUAUCUCAGCUUCGGUACUCGGACUUUGAGUCUUACUCAACUUGGCAUUACUUUGUAUCGGUAAUUCUCCCUUCUUUGAGUUUUCCAUACUAAAACGUUUUAGUACCUUCUCUAAGUAAGUAUUCUGACUAAGUCCAAUUAGUCUCUUACUUCUUUCUCUUACUAUCCUUAUUCCCAAAAUGUAAGAAGCCUCUCCGAGGUCCUUCAUAGCGAAGCACUUCCCGAGCCAGGACUUAACCUCCUGCAGAGUCGGGAUGUCGUUUCCUAUGAGUAAUAUGUCAUCGACAUAUAGAACGAGGAAGCUUACUAUACUCCCACUGGCUUUGACAUAUACACAAGAUUCGUCUUCGCUUCGUACAAAUCCAAACUCUUUGACUUUCUCAUCGAAGCAAAGAUUCCAUCUGCGAGACGCUUGCUUAAGUCCAUAAAUGGACUUCUCAAGCUUACACACUCUAUUCGGAUGCUUCGGAUCCACAAACCCCUCUGGCUGAGCCAUGUAAACAUCCUCAGCCAACUUUCCGUUAAGGAAAGCGGUCUUGACAUCCAUUUGCCAAAUCUCAUAAUCAUGAAAUGCGGCAAUUGCUAGCAUCACUCUAAUAGAUUUAAUCUUCGCAACUGGUGAGAAGGUCUCAUCAUAGUCAACUCCGGGAGUUUGAGUAAAGCCCUUCGCAACCAAUCGCGCUUUAUAUGUGUGUACGUUUCCAUCCACGUCGGUCUUCUUCUUGAAGAUCCAUUUGCACCCAACGGUCUUACGUCCGGGCACAUAAUCAACCAAAUUCCAAACUUGGUUAUCAUACAUGGAUUGGAUCUCGCUAUCCAUUGCCUCUUUCCAUUUUGCAGACUCCGGGCCUGCCAUGGCUUCCUUAUAGCUAUUAGGUUCAUCAAGAUUUAUUAGUGUACCAUCACUAAUAUACGUGUCCCCUUCGGUAGUAAUAUGAAAACCAUAAAACUGGGGUUGAACUCUAACUCUAUCGGAACGUCUAAGAGGUAAGGAUUCGUCAAUCGGUUCAACCGGAGUUUCCUCCUCGGGUUGAAUGCCAGCGGUAGAGGUUCCUUCAUCUAUCGACUCUUGAAUCUCUUCAAGCUCGAUUUGCCUCCCACUGUCUCCUUGGCUUAUGAGUUCUCGCUCUCGGAAAACUCCUCUCCUCGCAACGAAGACAACAUUGUCCUUCGGUCUAUAGAAGAGAUAUCCAAAGGAUGUCUGCGGGUAGCCGAUGAAAAUACAUCGCUCACUUCGAGGUUCAAGCUUGUCGUGAGUAUCUCGUCUUACGAAAGCCUCGCAACCCCAAACCUUGAUAUGUGCCAACAAGCGAGCCUUCCCUAUCCACAUCUUGUGAGGUGUUUUGGCAACCUAUUUAGUAGGGACUCGGUUAAGGAUAUGGGCGGCAGUCUCUAAGGCAUACCCCCAAAAAGAGAUUGAUAGUGAAGCACGACUCAUCAUAGAGCGAACCAUAUCCAAUAAGGUUCGAUUACGCCUUUCUGCCACACCAUUCAACUGCGGUGUCCUAGGAGGCGUCAAUUGCGAAACUAUUCCACACUCCUUGAGAUAAUCGUGGAAUUCAAGACUUAGGUACUCUCCUCCUCGAUCGGAUCGAAGCAUCUUGAUUUUCCUGCCCAAUUGAUUCUCCACUUCAUUCUUGAACUCUUUGAACUUUUCAAAGGUGUCUGACUUUUGCUUGAUUAAGUAGAUAUACCCAUAUCUACUAUAGUCAUCGGUAAAAGUCACAUAGAAGCGGUUCCCAUCCUUCGUGGUUGAUCUAAACGGUCCACAUACAUCGGUAUGUAUUAGGUCCAAUAGACCCUCGCCCCUUUCACAUGUACUCGUGAAGGGUGACUUAGUCAUCUUUCCAAGCAAACAAGACUCGCAUGUGUCAUCUUCCCUAAGGUCGAAUGACUCCAACACUCCAUCCUUUUGGAGUUGGGCUAUGCGUUUCUUGUUGACAUGUCCAAGACGACAAUGCCACAAGGAUGCUUUAUCCAUACUAGUGGAAGAAUCAAUAUUCAAAACAUCAUUUCCUAAGUUAUCAACAAUCAUAACGGUUUCAUAUAUUCCAUUACAUGGUAUAGCUUCAAAGUAAAAGACACCAUUUAGAUAAGCCAAAAUAGAACCAUUCUCAUUAUUAAAAGAAAAUCUAAAUCCUUGUCUAUAUAAACCAUGAAAUGAAAUGAUGUUUCUUGCCAUUUCUGGCGAAUAGCAACAAUUGUUCAAAUCUAAAACUAAACUAUUCCUAAGCACUAAGGAAUACACUCCAAUCUUGGUCACAGGCGACGAUCUUCUGUUCCCCAUGAUUAGAUUGAUCCUUCCUUGCUCCACAUCCCUACUUCUUCUUAGUCCCUGCACAUUAGAACAAAUGUGAUAACCACAACCGGUAUCAAGAACCCAAGAAAUAGCAUGAUUAGAAUCGUUAGAUUUGAUUGUAUAUAUACCUGCGAAAGAUGGCUUGAUCUUUCCUUCUUUGAUUGCUUGCAGGUAAUCCGGGCAGCUUCUCUUCCAAUGUCCUAUCUUGUGGCAGUGGUGGCACUCUGCCUCCUUCGGGUUAGAGCAGGGCUUGGCGGGAUCAACUUUGGUCCCACUAGAAGAGGCACCAUCUCGGGCUUUCACCUUGCGAUAGUUCUUCGAUGAAGCUUUCCUCUUCUUUCCCUUCCCUUGUCCAAUAGCCAAGACAGGAGCAGCGGGCGGAUUGGGAGUAGGUGCAACAGACUUGUCUUUGAAGUUGCUCUCAGCAACCCUCAAGAGACCUUGGAGCUUGCUUAGGGUGACCUCUUCUUUGUUCAUGUGGUAGGUCAUCCUAAAUUGGUUGUACAUCGGAGGCAAAGAGUGAAGCACCAUGUCGAUCGCCAAGUCUUCACCGAAGUCAACAUUUAACUUGCGGAGGCGGUCAACAUACCUUUGCAUCUUUUGCAAGUGCACGGUAAGAGAUUCUCCAUGACCCAUCUUCGCGGAAAUCAUGUUAGUGAAAAUCUCGUACCUCUCUUGUCUCGCGUUUUGGUGGUACCUCUCCAAUAAGUCUUGAUGCAUCUCGUACGGGUACAUGUCCUCGUAGGACUUUUGGAAUUCGGAGUUCAUGGUGGCGAUCAUGAUGCAAUGUACCUUCGUUGCAUCUCGCUCAUGAGUUUCAAAGGCGGUGAUUUCGGCGGGAGUAGCAAUUUCGGGGUUGAUUUUCUCGAGCUUCUCAUCGAGGACAUACUCCUUAUCCUCAUAGCGAGCAAUGGUGCGAAUGUAUCUUAUCCAUUCGCUAAAGUUCGUUCCAUCGAAGGUGACCUUUUGGCAAAGGCUCAUCAACGUGAAAGAACUAGCAGCAGCGUUGUUUGCGUUCGACAUCUACAAUUAGAAAAGGACAAAGAUAGAUUAGAAUAAGAAUCCCUAAUUAUCACCCAAUAAGAAAAUUAGGGCUAGGAUCCAACAAUAACAUUUACAUACUAGAAAAGGGAUGCCGUAAUCUAACAUGCAAAUAAAUUGAAGGUAAGUGAAUGACGAUUCACUAAUUCUCCAUCACAAAACUUAAACUAUUAGUCCUAAGUGUUUUUGAGAAUUCCUAGGUUCGGAUGAGAUUCAUUGAAACUAUUCAAUGGCAUGUUUAAAUCUCGAUAUGCCCCUCUUGUUUGUGACUGGGAUACCGAGGAUCACAAAGCGGGUGUGAAUUACCAUGCAAAUUCACAUGGUGCCUUCAUUGUAACGAUCACCUAUUCGAUGUGCCGGUAAACCACACACGCUCCAUCGAACUAUGAUAAACAAUGAAUCACCCUUUGCCACCUUUGCUUAGAACCAAUUAGUGUGCCGGUAAACCACAGACAUUCCACUAACUUCUUAGCAAGGGUGCAAAGUGUAACUUCAUGGGAUUGCAUCAAUUCACUUUUCCCAAAGUAACGAAGAUUGGGAAAUUUUUGAAAAACCAUGUAGUUACUUUGUAUUUCAUAUUAUACUUUUAAUGAGAGGAUGAGGUUGCCCUAUCCUACCCGUUCGGCUAACGACCCUCCACCGAUCAAUCAAGCGGUGGGUGUGAGUGUACACCCAUUAAGCGCCAUUUUAUAGGCCGCAACCUUAUACCCACCUUAUAGAUCGGCUUCGUGAAUGAGGCCUACUAACGGUAAGACUAGCAUUUUAGUUAUACAUAUAUAUACAUAUUAAUCUUGUAAUAUUAUAUUAGUAUAGGGUUGGAUUUUAAACUUGUAAAAUUCUAGGGUUUGAAAUUUAAAUUGUCUAAAUUAAACUUUUAAUCACAAAACAUAAAUUUCAAAACUUGAGGGCAAGUUUUAAACAUUUAAAACAUGGAGGAUCAAAUAACAAAUAAUCUUAAUUAACAAUUAAUUCCAUAAUUAUCCAUAUUUGAUUUAUUUAAUGAUUUCUUGCAAAAUAAUUUACCAAUUUAAUCAAAAUAAUUAAUUAAUUAUCACAUAAGGAAAUUAAAUAUUUUAUUAAUUGAUAAAUAUCUUUAAUUAGAUCAAGAUUAUAGUCAUAUAUAUCAAAAAAUCGGAUUAGGGUUGAUCUAAUAUGAUAAAGGCAAGUUUCCAUAAGAUAAAUAUCAAAAAAUCCCGAUUUUGGCUCUUCCUGACGCUCGGACUCGCCGAGUGCCCAACUGGACUCGCCGAGUCAGGCCAACUCGCCGAGUCCACCAUGGGACUCGCCGAGUCCAUGACUCAGAAACACAAAAUUCAAAUUUUGCAAGCAAGAAACAAACAAUCAUGCAUCAAUUUAAUAGAAACCAAUCUAGGCUCUGAUACCACUGAUGGGUUUUGGCCAUAUGAACAUUCCUAUGUGCACAUGCAAACCCUAAUGCUUGGAUCUAGGUUUCUCUAAUUAAACAUGCAUUGGAUCCAAGACUUCUAAUAGCUAAUAGAGUAUAAGAACAAUACAAAAUCAGAGUUAGAAGCUUACCUUGAAACACUUGUUUGAUCUUCUUGUUCUUGGAGCUUUAGAGUCACAAAUGUCACUCCUCUAAUGGCUUACAAACACCAACUAACAAGAGGAUCAUUUGAGAGAGAGGAGAGGGAAUAGAAAUCGGCCAGGGUUUCUUUGCUUUUGCAGAGGUGCCGAUUUCCCUUUCCCCAAGGGUCUAUUUAUACUUGUAAGGCUCCUAGGGUUUCACCCUUAAACCCUAG
rnacentral:lncRNA from 1 species